GCAAUUUUUGUAGAUGCUCAGUUUAGUUUCGAUUUCAGUUUUAAAAAAAUGGUUUAAAUAGUUCAGUUUUGGGUUUAGCUCACCCCUAAUUUACAGGCACAUUAAUACAAAGAAUUAAGUUUUUCCACUAAAAACAUCCCCUUCUUUACUUGCCUUAUUUGUUUGUGCUGUUUUUGCUAUGUUCUCACUGCAGAAACAGAGCUUGUCUCUUCUCUUCUCAUAGCUGCACACAUUAAUUGGUAGCCUCAUCUGUGUUAAAAUAUCCAGCCACAAAUUGCAUUAUACUCAUCUAGUUCGCAGUUCAUAAGGUUCAAGAUACUGGGUAGAAAAGACAUUAUUGCCUUUCUUUAGCAGCCAGGAUUCAUUAGUGAAUACAGUUUGUGAAACCAAAUUCUUGUUAGCAUCGAUACGAGUUCCUAAUACAGUUGUUGGCAGAAUUGAUUAGUUCUCCACAUUUAUCUGAGAGGAGGGAGGAAUUAAUUAAAAAGGAUUAUAUUAGAUUAUCUGGGACAUUAUUAGGCUGCCGAAGGAAUUCCAGGGAAUUGCUGUCAAGGACAUUUGCACAGCUACAUCUGCUUUGAUUGCUAAGCAUGAUGUUGUUAAUGCAUUACAACAUGAUGGUCUUCCUUGGGUUGCUUAUAUUGAAUAUGAAUUUGGUGUGCUUGGUCCUUGGAUGGGAUAUAAUCUUAGAGGUGUCUCUUCCUUUUUCUUUCUUUCUUUUUUGGUAAAAAGGUGUCUCUUCUUCAGGGAGGACCCUCUAUAGUACUGCUUGCAAUAUGGAGGAGAAGCUUUACCUACCUCUGAGUAAUAAGCCUGUAUCCAUAGUCCUUAACCAUUUGUCUCUAUUAACAUGGAUUUGAUUGACCAGAUUGCUUAUGUGCAUUUGGAAUAAUGGGGAUUGGAAUGCAUAAGCACUAUCAAAAUGCUAAACUUCUUGUUUUGCUUCUAUCAUUCAGUCUAUCCCACUAUCCUCUUUUCUUAGGAGAUAAGCGGAUCUGGACACAGGAUACACAUGGAGUAGGUACUGCAAGCUUUGCCAAACAAAUAUAAACCAAUAGAUACAGAUAUAUUAACAAAUAAAAGCAUGUAUUGUUUGGAAAUAAAUUUAAUGUAAACCAGCCUAUGGAGACAAUAGAUACAGAUGAACCAGUAUACAUGUAAUAGGAUUCCUUCUCAACUUUAGGUCUAAUAUCUAAAUGGUACACUGAAAA